rnacentral:tRNA from 1 species
ACCUGGCUGGUUCAGUCAACAGAGCAUGAGACUCUUGAUCUAGGGUUGUGGGUUCAAACUCCAUGUUGGGUA